GACGAACGCUGGCGGCGUGCCUAAUACAUGCAAGUCGAGCGCAGGAAGUCGACGGAACCCUUCGGGGGGAAGUCGACGGAAUGAGCGGCGGACGGGUGAGUAACACGUAAAGAACCUGCCCUCAGGUCUGGGAUAACCACGAGAAAUCGGGGCUAAUACCGGAUGGGUCAUCGGACCGCAUGGUCCGAGGAUGAAAGGCGCUCCGGCGUCGCCUGGGGAUGGCUUUGCGGUGCAUUAGCUAGUUGGUGGGGUAAUGGCCCACCAAGGCGACGAUGCAUAGCCGACCUGAGAGGGUGAUCGGCCACACUGGGACUGAGACACGGCCCAGACUCCUACGGGAGGCAGCAGUAGGGAAUCUUCCACAAUGGACGAAAGUCUGAUGGAGCAACGCCGCGUGAACGAUGAAGGCCUUCGGGUCGUAAAGUUCUGUUGUAAGGGAAGAACAAGUGCCGCAGGCAAUGGCGGCACCUUGACGGUACCUUGCGAGAAAGCCACGGCUAACUACGUGCCAGCCGCCGCUGUAAAAC
rnacentral:rRNA from 1 species